rnacentral:rRNA from 1 species
GCCCAGACUCCUACGGGAGGCAGCAGUGGGGAAUAUUGCACAAUGGGGGAAACCCUGAUGCAGCAACGCCGCGUGAGUGAAGAAGUAUUUCGGUAUGUAAAGCUCUAUCAGCAGGGAAGAAGAGAGACGGUACCUGACUAAGAAGCCCCGGCUAACUACGUGCCAGCAGCCGCGGUAAUACGUAGGGGGCGAGCGUUAUCCGGAUUUACUGGGUGUAAAGGGAGCGUAGACGGCAGCGCAAGCCAGAUGUGAAAGCCCGGGGCUCAACUCCGGGACUGCAUUUGGAACUGUGUGGCUGGAGUGUCGGAGAGGCAGGCGGAAUUCCUAGUGUAGCGGUGAAAUGCGUAGAUAUUAGGAGGAACACCAGUGGCGAAGGCGGCCUGCUGGACGAUGACUGACGUUGAGGCUCGAAAGCGUGGGGAGCAAACAGGAUUAGAUACCCUAGUAGUC